UUACGACCAUAUCACGUUGAAAUACCGGUUACAGUACGAUCAUGGAAGUUAAGCAAUGUCGAGCUUGGCCAGUACCUAGAUGGGUGACAGCUUGGGAACACCAACUGCUGUAAG